GUAGACAUAGAUAUCAUGGAAUGUAUUAUCUUGGUAAUGUCAUCAUGUGUUUUUAUAAUCGGUAUGUAAUUUAAUUUCUUACAGGUCAAUACAAUUUAUUAUAAAAGCUGAUGACUUACAAUGUAAUGGGUACUAUGCAAUAAUAGUCUUAACAUGGUUUAUUAUAUUUUCCAGGUUCCAUCUGCUACCUCAUAACUUUUUCAUUUUUAUUAUAUUUAUUAUAUUUUAGGUUCUACCAACGGACAGUCAGUAAACCAGACAUCUUUAACUCAAUCUGUCUUGGUGGGAGAGCCGGUCUAUUUGGAAUGUACCUACAAAAUAUCGGGUACACCUUAUACUUUCUGGUAUUAUCAAUCUUCUGCAAAAGCCCUAUCAAUGAUAGUCAAUGACUUAACACAAAAAGACUACAAGGGAUUUUCAGCUACCCAUGAUAGGAGCAAAUUUACCUUCCACUUGAGAAAGGAUCAUGUUGCAAUUGAUGACUCUGGGCUGUAUUUCUGUGCAGUUAGUGA